AGGACGGUGCGCAUGCGCAGCAAGCAAAGUUUUGAAGCUGCGCCGAAUUUGCUGAAACUGAGAAGUAAAAAGACUGUUUACAUUUCACCUCUGGACAAAGAAUGAUUGAUUACUUCUACACAAUAAUAAUAAGGAAAAAAGCUUGUGUCAGCUGUCUUCUCUGAGCAGCGGUCUUGUGAUCACCGGUCUCAGUAUAAUAAAGAUUUGACAGAACUACACACCCAUCUGAUGCCUACCUGUUUUAAUUCAUGAUCCCCCCGGAUACUUCUACAACUAACCCGCCUUGGUGUCUGAUGCUGAUGCAGUCUGGGCACUAGUAUCUGUUGGCUUGCUGACUAUCACUGACGAUGAAGUACUUCUCCAAAUCUUGACCCAGUGUCUUCUGCCAUCAUUGUUCAGGGUAGUACUGCAAAGAAUAGUCUCCAGGGUCUGCCUCCAACAUUUGCUUCCCGACCACCAUGUGCUACGUUUGCAUCACUGCUACAUGUGGGUUACCCUGAUACUGUGAAGAACACCUACAAUAUGAUGCUUGACUUGGGACAGAAAAAAAAACAUUGGCAACUUGUGUGGCCAACUCAUUGCCGUAUUUAAAAUCAUUGUACUGCUACCUCCAUUGUUUAACAUAACUAAAAGCAGAUUGUUUUUGCUUUGUUUCAAAAUUUUUGUAAUACGAGUUAAAACUACAUUGAAAAAAAUAUAUCAUCUUUAACUUUGAA